rnacentral:lncRNA from 1 species
CUACUCACUAGUUACAGUCAAACUCAAAAGACAGAACUUAGGUUCACCUUAAGUUGAACCUUUAAAUUCACCUCAUCUUUUAUGAUCAAUCAAAUUUCCACAUAGAUUAUUAAUUAAAAAACAUUAAAUUAAAUAAAAAAUAGCUACAAAAAAUAAAAACGUUAAUUUUAACGACGCUAACGCUUCCACCUAAACUCUAAACCCUAAAUCUUAAAUUCUAAACCCUAUACCCUAAAUUCUAAACCUAAAUCCAAACUCCUAAACCCAAACCCUAUACCUUAAACCCUA